CAUAUCACAUUAAAACAACGGUUCUCCCUCGAUCAGCGAAGUUAAGCGACGUCGAGCCUGAUCAGUACCAAGAUGGGUGACCGCUUGGGAAUACCAGGUGAUGUAAG